GGUUGGCUCAGAAGCAGCCAUCCUUUAAAGAGUGCGUAACAGCUCACUAGUCGAAUGACUCUGCGCCGAUAAUUUACCGGGGCUAAGCAUACUACCGAAGCUAUGGAUCCCAAGGGAUGGUAGGGGAGCGUUCCAUGAACGGAGAAGUACGACCGAAAGGACGUGUGGAGAUCAUGGAAGAGAGAAUGCCGGUGUGAGUAGCGGAACGUGGGUGAGAAUCCCACGCACCGAAAACCCAAGGUUUCCAGAGGAAGGUUCGUCCGCUCUGGGUAAGUCGGGACCUAAGGCGAGGCCGAAAGGCGUAGUCGAUGGACAACAGGUAGAGAUUCCUGUACCCGUAUAUAUGUGAAGGAAUGACGGAGAGAGGAAGCUGCAGCCAGCGGCUGGAAGAGCUGGUGCAAGCGAGAUAUCGGGAUGGCAGGCAAAUCCACCAUCCGAAACGAGAAGGCGUGAAGCGUACGGAAAGCUACGGCGAGUACGGAAGGCAGUGGAGGAACUUCCAAGAAAAGUUUCUAACGUUAAGUAUAUAUGGCCCGUACCGAAAAUGGACACACAUGGGUGAGGAGAGAAUCCUAAGGUGAGCGAGAGAACUAUAGCUAAGGAACUCUGCAAAAUGACUCCGUAACUUAGGGAGAAGGAGUGCUCAUAGAGAUAUGAGCCGCAGUGAAACGGCCCAAGCGACUGUUUACCAAAAACACAGCUCUCUGCUAAGCCGCAAGGCGAAGUAUAGGGGGUGACGCCUGCCCGGUGCUGGAAGGUUAAGGGGAGGGGUUAACGCAAGUGAAGCCCUGAACUGAAGCCCCAGUAAACGGCGGCCGUAACUAUAACGGUCCUAAGGUAGCGAAAUUCCUUGUCAGGUAAGUUCUGACCCGCACGAAAGGCGUAACGAUUUGGGCGCUGUCUCAGCUGUAGACUCGGUGAAGUCUUAGUACCUGUGAAGAUGCAGGUUACCCGCGACUAGACGGAAAGACCCCAUGGAGCUUCACUGCAGGUUGAUAUUGGGAUUUGAUGCAGCAUGUACAGGAUAGGUAGGAGGCAAAGAGAUGGAUACGCCAGUAUUCAAGGAGCCGCUGUUGGGAUACUACCCCUGUUGUAUUGGAUUUCUAACCGGACGACGUAGAGCCGUUGACGGGACAGUGUCAGUCGGGCAGUUUGACUGGGGCGGUCGCCUCCCAAAGAGUAACGGAGGCGCCCAAAGAUACCCUCAGCUUGGAUGGAAACCAAGCGCAGAGUGCAAAGGCAAAAGGGUGUUUGACUGCGAGACCCACAAGUCGAGCAGGGACGAAAGUCGGGCUUAGUGAUCCGGCGGUGCUGAAUGGAAAGGCCGUCGCUCAACGGAUAAAAGCUACCCUGGGGAUAACAGGCUGAUCUCCCCCAAGAGUUCACAUCGACGGGGAGGUUUGGCACCUCGAUGUCGGCUCAUCGCAUCCUGGAGCUGAAGUCGGUUCCAAGGGUUGGGCUGUUCGCCCAUUAAAGCGGUACGCGAGCUGGGUUCAGAACGUCGUGAGACAGUUCGGUCCCUAUCUGUCGUGGGCGCAGGAAAUUUGAGAAGAGCUGUCCUCAGUACGAGAGGACCGGGAUGGACGCAUCAAUGGUGGACCAGUUGUCACGCCAGUGGCAUAGCUGGGUAGCUAAAUGCGGAAGGGAUAAACGCUGAAGGCAUCUAAGUGUGAAACCCACUUCAAGAUGAGAUUUCCCAUUGCGCAAGCAAGUAAGACCCCUUAAAGACGAUAAGGUAGAUAGGUCAGGAGUGUAAGCAUGGUGACAUGUUAAGCGGACUGAUACUAAUAGGUCGAGGGCUUGACCG
rnacentral:rRNA from 1 species